AAUUUGGGGGCUCUUGAGAGAUGAGAGAAACAACGACUGGAGGGAUUAAGAAGAACUCUUAGGAGCAGCUUGGCUUAAAGGCUGUGUGGGACGUGCCUGCUUUCCCUUCGCCUUCCACCAUGAUUGUAAGUUUUCUGAGACCCCCUCAGCCAUGUUUCCUGUAGAGCCUGUGGAGUUUCUUUGACCUUCUCCCAUCUUCCAGUCAGAGGCUAAACCCAGGCGCUCUGCUGCCAGUCCUGACAGACCCCGCCCUGAAUGAUCUCUAUGUGAUUUCCACCUUCAAGCUGCAGACUAAAAGUUCAGCCACCAUCUUCGGUCUUUACUCUUCAACUGACAACAGUAAAUAUUUUGAAUUUACUGUGAUGGGACGCUUAAACAAAGCCAUCCUCCGUUACCUGAAGAACGAUGGGAAGGUGCAUUUGGUGGUUUUCAACAACCUGCAGCUGGCAGACGGAAGGCGGCACAGGAUCCUCCUGAGGCUGAGCAAUUUGCAGCGAGGGGCCGGCUCCCUAGAGCUCUACCUGGACUGCAUCCAGGUGGAUUCCAUUCACAAUCUCCCCAGGG
rnacentral:sRNA from 1 species